rnacentral:rRNA from 1 species
GAGGAAAGGACAUCAACCGAGACUUCGCUAGUAGCGGCGAGCGAACGCGAACCAGGCCAGUGGCUUAUGCAUAAGAACCGGAACGAUCUGGAAAGGUCGGCCAUAGUGGGUGAUAGCCCCGUACGGGUAGAAAUUGCAUAAGUCCUCGAGUAGGGCGGGACACGUGAAAUCCUGUCUGAACAUGGGGGGACCACCCUCCAAGCCUAAGUACUCCUUGACGACCGAUAGUGUACCAGUACCGUGAGGGAAAGGUGA